rnacentral:rRNA from 1 species
UACAGAGGUCCCAAGCGUUGUUCGGAUUCACUGGGCGUAAAGGGUGCGUAGGUGGCCAGGUAAGUUUGGUGUGAAAGCUCGGAGCUUAACUCCGAAAAGUCAUUGAAUACUAUCUGGCUGGAGGGUCGGAGGGGAGACUGGAAUUCUCGGGUGUAGCAGUGAAAUGCGUAGAUAUCGAGAGGAACACCAGUGGCGAAGGCGAGUCUCUGGACGACUCCUGACACUGAGGCACGGAAAGCUAAGGGGAGCGAAACAGGAUUAGAAACC